GCCAUCUCCCUCACGGCCUGCAGUCGCCAGCUGCCCCCUCACACAGCGGGGCACCCCGAAGCCCGCAGCACCGGCACGGCCCACCCCCCCCUCAGCGACCUGUGGCCCCCCCAGCGCUGCAGAGCAGCAGGAAAGGAAGAAGCAUGGUCACUGCUUGGCUGCUGGAUGAAAGAUGAACAGCAUGACUGAACAACAUGCCAUGGGGAGCAGAGAGCUUGAGGCAGCCUCAGUGCAGUGCUCUUGUAGGCACUUAGAAACCAUACACAAUGGGAAGCAUAUGCAAGAUCGCUGGCAGAAGCCAUCACAUCACAUUUAGUUUCUCUCUACUGAUCAUGUGUGAGAUAUGUUUAGAGAGAUUUUUUUUUUUUUUCUCCCUUGUUUUAAUGAUAAUGGAGGCUGGGGCUUGUUGCCUUGGAGUUUUUGAUUCUUUAAUUUUUAUAGGUUUUAGAAGUAGUUAUGUAGUGAAUGUAGAUUUUAGAAGUAGCUGUAUUAUAUCCCUUACCCUUUAGCGUAGUAGUUACACAUAUACCCAACCCUAUUACCCCAAUUCCAUAUCAGUUCCCCUAAAUUCCAGUAGCAUAUUUAGUCUUCUUUUCAAGGUAGGCCUUCAUUCUGUUUAAGAACAUCUGCCCCCUGGCCUGGACAACAAGAUAUCACCCAGGACUUUGGAAAGCCUCCAAGGACUUUACGUGCUGCAAAGAAGAAGAUGAGGAAGAGAGGGUCCCAAAACACCUCCAGACUCAAUUCCUGAGGGGCAGGGCAGGGGCAAAAUGGGGCAAAGGCCGGGGGAUGGACGAGCAGGAAUUGGCUGGACAUCAUUAUAAAAUUAUAACGCCCGGGUCAGGGGGUGCACGCAUGGUUUGUAUCUUCAUUAAAACCUUCCCUUAUCUUACCACCUCCUUAAA